GACUCCAUAGUGUAGUGGUUAGCACAUCUGCUUUGCACGCAGAAGGUAGAGCCA
rnacentral:tRNA from 1 species